AGAUGCCCUCUUAGGGUUUGAAAUGUGGGGGGAAAAAAAAGAGAAUCACUGCUUAUCUUAGUCUGUUCAGGUAGCUGUAACAAAAUACCAUACCUGGGUGACUUACAAGUAAUACAAAUGUUAUUUCUCACAUUUCUGGAGUCUAGGAAGCCCAAGAUCAAGGUGCUAGCAGAUUUGGUGUCCGGUAUCUACUGACCUGGUUAUCGCUUCUUCCUUUAAGGAGUAUUAGAACACUGCUGGGGAUGGGCUGACAAACAUACCAGGGAUUUUACUUUGUGUCAGCCAAGAGGCUUUCCUUACUUCCUUGUCUUCAAUACUCUUGUGCACAAGCAUGCUUCUCAGAGAAGGUGGGUUCUACCUUGGAAGGAAAUGAGUCGUUUCCUCCCAUCAGGACAACUGCCACAGCAUGGUGUCAACUCACUCUUGCCUUUCAUAAAUUGAGUUUGUCAGUGCUCAGCGACACAGCUGAGUGAAAUGUUGUGUGAUGCGGGCUGUCUCCUGGGAGAGAGAAACUGGCAUAAACCACAUCCUAAUGGGAUCCAGAAACAAAGAAGCGUGAAUGAAGUGUUAAUUGCAUUCAUAAAGACAUUAACAAAGGAAUUAAAAUGGCAGAAGCUUCCGUCCCCCACUCAAGAUUCACAGAAAAAUAUGUUAUCCAAAGAAUGUUUCAACAAUAAUCAUCAAAGUUUAUUGCUUGCCCAUUGGGGAAAUAACUCUUGAUACAUAUUAACUUUUCAAAGAACAUUUUGUGUCCAUUAUUUUGAGUAUAUUAACUAACAGACAGUUUAUUCCACCCUACUUCCAGUUCUUUGCUUGCUUUUGUAUGAUUUAAGUUUCCAAAAAAUCCAGAGGCAUUUUCAAUGCUGCUUCAUUAACCAUAAGGAUGUCUUUUAACAGUUUGAACCUAAUCAAUCCUACAGUUCUUAUUAGAGCAAAAUGCUCAUUAUCUGGGAGAAUUUUUGCUUUUUGAAAUAAAAUUACAAGACUGGGGGUUUAUUUUACAGUCCCUCUUGAAUAUUCCUGAGAUAAUCUGCAAUGUGGGCAACCCGGGGCUCCCUCCCCAGCCCUGUGGCAGGGCCUCCCUGCUGCUGACAGCAGGGCUAAGCUGGCAAAAGGUCAGGAGGCUGCAUUUCACUGAAGAUGGAUCGCACAGAUGAAUAUUGCGCUUGCUUAAUGAAGCCAAGGCCAUGGAUUUGGGGCCUUUUAUGGUUCUUCUUGUUUCACUCAAUUUCACCUUCACAGACCACGCCACUAAUCCCAGCCAAUCAUUUUGUAGAUAUGUGCAACUGGUGACUAAGGGACUAGAUAAAAGUAAAUGAAUCUAAAAAACAGUUACCAGAAAUCAGAAAUCUCUGUGCCUAUAACAAACUCAGAAUUAAAAAAAAAAAAAGCAUGCA